AAAGCAAUUUUGUUAAUCACUUUAGCACCAAUUCUUGCAUCCCUGGCAAUACUCAGAACUGCCUCCAUCCAAGUCUUUGAUGUGGGAAAGAAACACACACACUCUUUCACAUGUAAUCUGAAAACAAUUCACCUCUUGCCAAUGAAUGCACAGCACUCCACUUUAAUAGAGAGCAAGUUCUGUGGAGGUUUCUAAUCCUUUCUGCCAAAGAAGAGAAGAGAGAGAAUCACUCAGGUAGCCCAACCUCAUUCAGGAGUUAAAAUCACUUGGAAUGUUUUGUGGUGUGUUGGGGGCUUUUUAAAAAAUAUCACUUGCUGAAGAUUACGGCUCUCAGGGGAAAUCAAAACAACUCAAGAUCAAAAAAAAUAAAUAAAAAAUAAAAAUAAAAAAAGAGUCCCCAUCCCCAACUCAAACAGGAUAUUCUUCUCAACUCAGAUAACUCUUGAUCUAAGUGUAUUACAAGAAACCUGCUUUAAUCCCUCAAAGCAAUGGUGUUAUAGAUAAGUAGCGGUAACUGAGGUGGCUUAAAUUCCAGAAAUGUACAAAAGAUUUGGUUGGAAACAAAACUAAAGAAGAAAGCAAGCUCAAUCUGCAUUGCUGUGACUUAAGAGGUAAAUUUAGGGCAGUAAAAAUGCAAAGAAUGACCCGUAAAAAAGAAAUAGCCAUAAAGUCCAGAAUUGUCCUAAUGGUCCCACAGGCUGCUUUCAGCAUGUGUCUGAAUGUGUGUGUGCUUUAGGGGUGUGUUUGUGGAAGUAUUUUAAGAAAGUGAAAUUGUUUUACUGAUUUCAGGAUCUGACAGAGUUCAUUUGAAAAUUUCUUUAUACAUUUUACUGUGAUAUUACAACAUUCUGAAACGGUAUUUCACAAAUGAUUUUCUUGCUCUUUAUAUUUUCUUUCUCUUUAUAUUUUUGGUUGAACUCCAGUAUUUUUUUCUUAUUUAGUCCCUUUUUCCUUGACGUAUCACUGCUCACUUAAAUGCAAUGGGAUGGACUUUAUGGUUUUUCCUUCUGUCAGUAAUUAACCAUAUUUUCACAGUCUGGGUAUUCGUUUUGAUCUAUCUUCUGACAUCCCAGUGAACAGAUUGCAAAUUCCCCCUCCCGCUUGUCAACUAUAGCUCUCUAUUGCAAAAUAAUGGCAAUUUCUUUCAUUAUGGCCUCUCCCAUUUGCCCAAAACAUGCUUGAAAAUGCUCUUUCACCUUUUUAAGAGUGCCCCCUUUUUAGAGGUAAAGCUUGUUAUUUGAUAGAUGAUACAUACAAAUAGUUAAUAGUUAAAAAUUCAAAAGGUAUAAAAUAGCAUGGCACCCAGUUCCCCUUCUUAGAAGCAGACCUUGGUGCUAGGUUUUUGUGUAUCUCUCCAGAGAUCUUUGGCAUACAAAAGUCAAAGCACACACAUGUAGUUUCUCCUGCAAAUGGCAACGUAUGAUAUACACUCUUCUGUAGCUUGCUUUUCCCCUUAAUGUAUAUUAGAGAUCGUUCUAUAGCAGUGCGCAUGGUCUUCCUCAUUCUUUCUCACAGUUGCUUAGUAUCCUAUUCUACAGGUGUUCCAUGGUUUAUUUAAACAGUUUGGAAUACAUCUGUUCCAAACGCUUCUAUUCUCUAAUCGUGGCUUCUUUCCUCACCGGUUGUGUCUGUGACUCUAUCCUAGGUACCGUAAAUAAGUCACUGAAUUGUAACCCGGAGGGCUCUUGAACAAGUUUUAAAAUUUUGUUUUCUAAACAUUUAAAAACUGAAAAAAUUACCCAAAGGGAUGUGGGUUUAUAGUUUUCAAAAAAACAAACAGACAAACAAACAAGCAGAAUUAUGGCAGUUAUGUGGUGCCAAGACUUUGAAUUAUUUUUUGAAUUAUUUCCUCUCAGUCUCAUCAUGGAUCCCGCCUGGACUGUGUCAUGACCUACCUGCUUAAAAAUUUAAAAUUCCAUUUUUCAUUGACUUUCCUAUAUGGGUUAACGUAGGAUUCUGUAUUGAGAAUUUCCUUCCAGCAGCUGGUAUUAACUUUAAUUCCCUUAACCUAUGAAAUAUUAUUAAACAUUUUCUUAUAUACUUUUAAUUGAAAACCAAUUUGACAUGCUAUCUCAUACGUGACUUCAGGGAAAUUGGAACUUCUAGUUGACCUCAGUUCUUUGGGGAGGGCAAAGCAAACCAUGGGGCCUGACUGUUGCGACUCCUUUCCUAUUGUUGAGUCGUCUAAGAGAUGAAGAUCUUGGGAGGUUAUAGAUUAGAUCCCCUGGGUUGUGCCACACCUCCACUGAGACUGGUCAUGCUGACGGCAUGCAUGAGAACCUGGGCAAAAAUUUCUCUCCGCAUAUUGGGGCCUCCAUGGCAUUUGGAGUCUCAAGCCCUUGUCAAGUGAGGAUUUGAACUCUUAGCUCUGCCUUGCCGGAGCUGAUAUCCAUGUGAGUAUUGUUUGCUUCUACUGUCUGACCUCGUUCAAUUUCAGUUUUUUUCAUCUGUCCAUUUGGUUCCUAAUUUAUGAGCUUCUAUUGCACAUGUAAAGUUUAGCCUCUCUUUGCUCGCUGUUUCACCGGCA
rnacentral:lncRNA from 1 species